UGGCGGUCCGCGUUCGUGAGAGAAAACGAGAGCUGGAGAGAUCUGUUGCAGCCUUCAGAGUGGCGGGGCUGGAGGAACGCAUUAGCGUUUAUGAACGGGAUGCCCAGGUUGCGACAUAUCAGCUUACGGCCUUGGAGGCCGAGAAUCAGCGCCUGAGGGACCAGGAUGCCUCUUACGGCCCCGCUCGUGAUCUUUGGUUUUUUGCUGAGGCCCAACUCGACGUAUACAAGAAAUUAUGUGAGGAUGGAUUUGGGCCAAAAGUUAUUUAUGAGGGAGCCUGCCAAAAGUCUCGUGAUGCCCGGCUUGGCUGUGUCUUCGACCCGGCCACCCCAGAGGCUGAUGAUGGCGCUGAGGGCGCAGAUGGUGGUGCGGACGGUGCUGAGUAAAAAGGUUUUUGUAGAGUUAGUUUUAUUCUGUUUUGUUUUUUAUUUCCGUUUGACCCUUACUUUUCUUUGUUUGCCGACCUUGGCCGUUUGUAAAUGGGGGUUGCCCGUUG
rnacentral:lncRNA from 1 species